GACAGAGGGUGCAAACGUUGUUCGGAAUUACUGGGCGUAAAGCGCGUGUAGGCGGCCAUCUAAGUCGGGCGUGAAAUCCCACGGCUCAACCGUGGAAGUGCACUCGAAACUGGAUGGCUAGAGUCCUGGAGAGGAAGGUGGAAUGCUUGGUGUAGAGGUGAAAUUCGUAGAUAUCAAGCGGAACACCGGUGGCGAAGGCGGCCUUCUGGACAGUGACUGACGCUGAUGAGCGAAAGCUAGGGGAGCAAACGGG
rnacentral:rRNA from 1 species